rnacentral:rRNA from 1 species
CUACGGGAGGCAGCAGUUGGGAAUAUUGGACAAUGGGGGAAACCCUGAUCCAGCAAUGCCGCGUGGGUGAUGAAGGCCUUCGGGUUGUAAAGCCCUUUUGGCGGGGACGAUGAUGACGGUACCCGCAGAAUAAGCCCCGGCUAACUUCGUGCCAGCAGCCGCGGUAAUACGAAGGGGGCUAGCGUUGUUCGGAAUUACUGGGCGUAAAGGGCGCGUAGACGGUUGUGCAAGUCAGAUGUGAAAGCCCUGGGCUCAACCCAGGAUGUGCAUUUGAUACUGCACGACUAGAGUGUCGGAGAGGAUGGUGGAAUUCCCAGUGUAGAGGUGAAAUUCGUAGAUAUUGGGAAGAACACCGGUGGCGAAGGCGACCAUCUGGACGACAACUGACGCUGAGGCGCGAAAGCGUGGGGAGCAAACAGGAUUAGAAACCCUUGUAGUCC